rnacentral:rRNA from 1 species
UACGUAGGGGGCUAGCGUUGUCCGGAAUUAUUGGGCGUAAAGAGCUCGUAGGCGGCUUGUCACGUCGGGUGUGAAAGCCCGGGGCUUAACCCCCGGGUCUGCAUUCGAUACGGGCUAGCUAGAGUGUGGUAGGGGAGAUCGGAAUUCCUGGUGUAGCGGUGAAAUGCGCAGAUAUCAGGAGGAACACCGGUGGCGAAGGCGGAUCUCUGGGCCAUUACUGACGCUGAGGAGCGAAAGCGUGGGGAGCGAACAGG